rnacentral:rRNA from 1 species
GGAGGGCAAGUCUGGUGCCAGCAGCCGCGGUAACUCCAGCUCCAGAAGCGUAUAUUAAAGUGGUUGCAGUUAAAAAGCUCGUAGUUGGAUCUGGGUUGCAUGGUUACACGCUGUGGCGUGAUUCACUUUGGCGAUUGUUAGAGUGGGUUUUGCCGGGCGUAGUAGUCGUGUGAUCUUUCUGCCGUGUCUGUGUUACACAGGUGCUGGCUAAUCAGCUAGCAUGCUUUUGGGUGCCUUUAAUCGGGUGUCCAUAGCAGACGGCACGUUUACUUUGAACAAAUUUGAGUGCUCAAAGCAGGCCGUAGUGCCUGAAAAUUCUUGCAUGGAAUAAUGAAAUAGGACUUCGGUUCUAUUUUGUUGGUUUUCGGAUCCGAAGUAAUGGUUAAGAGGGACAGACGGGGGCAUUUGUAUGG